rnacentral:rRNA from 1 species
UCAAGUUAUUAAGGGUGCAGGGCGGAUGCCUUGGCACUAGGAGCCGAUGAAGGACGUGAUAAGCUGCGAUAAGCUUCGGGGAGUUGCACGUAAACUUUGAUCCGAAGAUUUCCGAAUGAGGAAACUCACUUAGAGUAAUGUCUAAGUAUCAUUAAGUGAAUACAUAGCUUAAUGAGGGGAACUCAGGGAACUGAAACAUCUAAGUACCUGAAGGAAGAGAAAGAAAUUCGAUUCCGUAAGUAGCGGCGAGCGAACGCGGAUUAGCCCAAACCAAUAAAGUUUUCUUUAUUGGGGUUGCGGACAUAUCAUAACGAAGAGGUAUCGUAAUUGAAGAGGUUUGGAAAGACCCACCACAGAAGGUAAUAGUCCUGUAUGUUAAACGAGAAGACUUUAGAUAUGAUCCAGAGUACCACGGGACACGUGAAACCCUGUGGGAAGCAGGAGGGACCACCCUCCAAGGCUAAAUACUACCUAGUGACCGAUAGCGUAUAGUACCGUGAGGGAAAGGUGAAAAGAACCCCGGGAGGGGAGUGAAAUAGAACCUGAAACCCUGCACUUACAAGCUGUGGAAGCACAUUUCUUGUGUGACCGCGUACUUUUUGUAGAACGGGCCAACGAGUUACGUUAAGUAGCAAGGUUAAGCACUUAAGGUGCGGAGCCGUAGCGAAAGCGAGUUUUAACUGAGCGUUCAGUUACUUGACGUAGACCCGAAACCGGGCGACCUACCCAUGAGCAGGAUGAAGCGAAAGUAAAAUUUCGUGGAGGUCCGAACCCACGAGCGUUGAAAAGCUCGGGGAUGACUUGUGGGUAGCGGUGAAAUUCCAAUCGAGCCCGGAGAUAGCUGGUUCUCCCCGAAAUAGCUUUAGGGCUAGCCUCAAGGUGAGAGAUACGGAGGUAGAGCACUGAAUGUCCUAGGGGGUAUUGCACCUACCGAAGACUAUCAAACUCCGAAUGCCGUCAUCUUAUACUUGGGAGUCAGACUGUGGGUGAUAAGAUUCAUAGUCGAAAGGGCAACAGCCCAGAUCGUCAGCUAAGGUCCCUAAAUGUAAGUUAAGUGGUAAAGGAUGUGGGAUUGCACAGACAACCAGGAUGUUGGCUUAGAAGCAGCCACUCAUUCAAAGAGUGCGUAAUAGCUCACUGGUCGAGUGAUCCUGCGCCGAAGAUUUCCGGGGCUAAAACUUACUACCGAAGCUACGGCAUCAGUAAUGAUGGGUAGGGGAGCUUCCCAUACGGGUUGAAGCAUGACCGUAAGGACAUGUGGACAGUAUGGGAGUGAGAAUGUUGGCAUGAGUAGCGAGAUGUGGGUGAGAAUCCCACAGGCCGUAAACCCAAGGUUUCCAGGGGAAGGUUCGUCCGCCCUGGGUUAGUCGGGACCUAAGCUGAGGCCGAAAGGCGUAGGUGAUGGACAACAGGUUGAUAUUCCUGUACUACCGAUAACCGUUUGAGAGAAGGGAUGACACAGUAGGAUAAGCUAAGCACACUGUUGGUUAUGUGUGCCCAAGCAUUGAGGCAGUCAAAGUAGGCAAAUCCGCUUUGAUAAUGCUGGGAUGUGAUGGGGAGCGAAAUUUAGUAGCGAAGUAGCUGAUUUCACACUGUCAAGAAAAGUCUCUAUCGAGGUUAAAGGUACCCGUACCGCAAACCGACACAGGUGGGUGAGGAGAGUAUCCUAAGGCCAGCGAGAGAACUGUUGUUAAGGAACUCGGCAAAAUGACCCCGUAACUUAGGGAUAAGGGGUGCCACCAUCAGGUGGCCGCAGAGAAUAGGCCCAAGCGACUGUUUACCAAAAACAUAGGUUUCUGCUAAGUCGCAAGACGAUGUAUAGGAGCUGACGCCUGCCCGGUGCUGGAAGGUUAAGGGGAUCUGUUAGAGCAAUCGAAGCAGUGAACUUAAGCCCCAGUAAACGGCGGCCGUAACUAUAACGGUCCUAAGGUAGCGAAAUUCCUUGUCGGGUAAGUUCCGACCCGCACGAAAGGCGUAACGAUUUGGGCACUGUCUCAACAACAGACUCGGUGAAAUUGUAAUUCCGGUGAAGAUGCCGGAUACCUGCGACAGGACGGAAAGACCCCAUGGAGCUUUACUGUAGCUUGACAUUGGGUCUUGGUACUACAUGUACAGGAUAGGUGGGAGGCUUUGAAACCAGGACGCCAGUUUUGGCGGAGCCAUCCUUGGGAUACCACCCUUGUAGUACUGGGACUCUAACCAUAGGCCAUGAAUCUGGUCUUGGGACACUGUCAGGUGGGAAGUUUGACUGGGGCGGUCGCCUCCCAAAAGGUAACGGAGGCGCUCAAAGGUUCUCUCAGUACGGUCGGAAAUCGUACGUAGAGUGUAAAGGCAAAAGAGAGCUUGAUUGCAAGACAUACAGGUCGAGCAAGGAUGAAAAUCGGACUUAGUGAUCCGGUGGUUCUGCGUGGAAGGGCCAUCGCUCAACGGAUAAAAGCUACCCUGGGGAUAACAGGCUUAUCUCCCCCAAGAGUCCACAUCGACGGGGAGGUUUGGCACCUCGAUGUCGGCUCAUCACAUCCUGGGGCUGUAGUAGGUCCCAAGGGUUGGGCUGUUCGCCCAUUAAAGUGGUACGCGAGCUGGGUUCAGAACGUCGUGAGACAGUUCGGUCCCUAUCCGUCGCAGGCGUAGGAAAUUUGAGAAGACCUGUCCUUAGUACGAGAGGACCGGGAUGGACGUACCUCUGGUGUACCAGUUGUCCUGCCAAGGGCAUGGCUGGGUAGCUAUGUACGGAAUGGAUAAGCGCUGAAAGCAUCUAAGCGCGAAGCCAACUUCAAGAUAAGAUUUCCCACCGCAAGGGUAAGACCCCAGAAAGACUAUCUGGUUGAUAGGUCGAAGGUGUAAGUGGAGCAAUGUAUUUAGCUUAUCGAUACUAAUAGGUCGAGGACUUGACCAA